rnacentral:rRNA from 1 species
GAUGAACGCUGGCGGCGUGCCUAAUACAUGCAAGUCGAGCGAACAGAUGAGGAGCUUGCUCCUCUGACGUUAGCGGCGGACGGGUGAGUAACACGUGGAUAACCUACCUAUAAGACUGGGAUAACUUCGGGAAACCGGAGCUAAUACCGGAUAAUAUACUGAACCGCAUGGUUCAAUAGUGAAAGACGGUUUUGCUGUCACUUAUAGAUGGAUCCGCGCCGCAUUAGCUAGUUGGUAAGGUAACGGCUUACCAAGGCAACGAUGCGUAGCCGACCUGAGAGGGUGAUCGGCCACACUGGAACUGAGACACGGUCCAGACUCCUACGGGAGGCAGCAGUAGGGAAUCUUCCGCAAUGGGCGAAAGCCUGACGGAGCAACGCCGCGUGAGUGAUGAAGGUCUUCGGAUCGUAAAACUCUGUUAUUAAGGAAGAACAAAUGUGUAAGUAACUAUGCACGUCUUGACGGUACCUAAUCAGAAAGCCACGGCUAACUACGUG